rnacentral:rRNA from 1 species
CCUACGGGAGGCAGCAGUAGGGAAUCUUCCACAAUGGGCGAAAGCCUGAUGGAGCAACGCCGCGUGGGUGAAGAAGGUCUUCGGAUCGUAAAACCCUGUUGUUAGAGAAGAAAGUGCGUGAGAGUAACUGUUCACGUUUCGACGGUAUCUAACCAGAAAGCCACGGCUAACUACGUGCCAGCAGCCGCGGUAAUACGUAGGUGGCAAGCGUUAUCCGGAUUUAUUGGGCGUAAAGGGAACGCAGGCGGUCUUUUAAGUCUGAUGGGAAAGCCUUCGGCUUAACCGGAGUAGUGCAUGGGAAACUGGGAGACUUGAGUGCAGAAGAGGAGAGUGGAACUCAAUGUGUAGCGGUGAAAUGCGUAGAUAUAUGGAAGAACACCAGUGGCGAAAGCGGCUCUCUGGUCUGUAACUGACGCUGAGGUUCGAAAGCGUGGGUAGCAAACAGGAUUAGAUACCCGAGUAGUC